CAUAAAAAGGCACUUACUGGCUCCAUGUUAGCAGCAGGAUCCCCAAGCCCAAGAGGGCAAGGAGCAUUGGGCCAGGCAGGGCAGCUGCUCAUCUGAAUCUUUCUUUGUACAAGCUCUUUGUCCUGCUUUUCCUUGGAGUGAUUUACACAAUCAAAUAAGCUGAGUUCCUGUUACUGGCUCAGUGGUCUCUGUAUGCAGGGGAAGGAGCCAAGAAGAAAGCUGAUACCCGUGGUGUGUACACUGUUUUCUGGGGACUGUCUCCUGCGCGGUUCAGGGCUGGUAACCACUGUCUGCAUCCCACGCCCGGGAGGCGGUGCCUUUUGCGUAGGAGCCUCAGCGUUUGGGGGCAGGAUCUGCAUCCUCCUGUCAUUCCCCUGAGCUGUAGUAACAGCCAAACAGAAGCCACACGUCUUUGCAUCCACAGCAUCUAGAAUAAAACCGGCCACAUGUCAGGUGCCCAGUAAAAGUCUUCUGGAAUCAGAACAGAAGGGUGCCAAAGACCAGACCUUGAUGUGAGGAUUAAAUGGAACAAAGGAUGUGAAAGUGCCCAGUGCAGCUUCUGAACAGAGAGGCUGCCAUCCAUACCUGGCCCUCCUCCCACUUCCUAGCAUCUCCGUCUCUCUGCUGGACCAAUCCUGCCAUCCACCCCAUGGGCUCCCUUCACUUCACUGCAGAACCACAUUCCAGGCAGGAGGACAAGCAGCAAGAAGCAGCUUGAAGUUGGAGGAAAGGUGAUGGGGGGCACGAAGAUGGAGAAUGCAAACCCUGAAGCCCGGGAAGAAGGCAAGCUGGUAGGAAGAUUAAGGAUCCAGUUUUUUUUUUUACCACAUAUGAACCACUUGGGGGGGUGGGGGGAUUUAGGUGGGUGGGUAGGAAGGAAAGAGGGAGAGAAAUAAUUAAUAAUCACUGUUUUUUGAGCAUCUAUAAUCUAGGUCUGGGCUUGAGUUCUGGCCCUUUAAUAGCCAUCCAUAUCAGCUUGAACCAGUUAUUUAAACUUACUGGGCCAAUAUGAUCUUAAGUUUUACUGUUGUGAGAGAAGUGUUGUCAUUCUCAUUUUGCCAGUGAAUGGACUGGCUUAAGUCACACAGCUAGUGCGAUUACAUCCUAUGUCUCAAACUUCAUAAUGACCAUCUUUUAUGUACGGUAUUAUUUAAUUUUCACAAAAUGCAAAAAAGUUGUUAGUAGUCCCAUUUUACUUGUUAAAAAGAUAUAGAGGCUUAAAGAUAUUACAUAAUUUGUCCAGGAUUUCAUAUCAAAUGAGCAGAAGAUUCAAGGUGGAAAACAAAACUAAGUCUAAUCCUAGAGGAGAAUAACAGAGUAAUAGCAUCCAUUAUUUGUGUGCCUUGUGGAGUUGGCCCUGCACUAAGCCCUUUACAUGCAUGUUCUCAUUUUGCCAAUUAUGAAUAAAGCUGCUAUCAACAUUUGUGUGCAGGUUUUUAUGUAGACAUAAGUUUUCAACUCAUUUGGGUAACUAGCUAGACAUGCAAUUGCUGAUCUCAUGGUUAAGAAGACAGUUUGGUAAGAAACUGUCAAGCUGUCUUCCAAAGAGGCUACACACACACACACACACACACACACACCAACAAAAAACAAAAACAAAGCCUGCACUGUUUUGCAAUCCAACCUGAAACAUACAAAAGUAUCUGAUAUUCAGCAUCCAUAUUAGCAUUUGGUGGUGGUGGCGUUUUUGAUUUUAGCCGUUCCAAUAGGAAUGUUGUGGCUUCUCAUUGUCGUUUUAAUUUGCAACUCCCUAAUGACAAAUGAUACUGAGCGUCUUUUCUUAGGCUUACCUGCCAUCUGUAGAUACUCUCCGAUAAAAUGCUCCUUCAGCUCUUUUGCCCAUUUUAAAAAUUGGGUUGUUUGUGUUCUCAUUACUUAGCAUUCUUUGUAUAAUUUGUAUACAAGUCAUUUAUUAGAAAUGUGUUUUGCAAAUAUUUUCUCAAUUCGUGGCUUAUUUCUUCAGUGUCUUUCCAGUGACUGUUGUGGAUCAGAACUUUGUAUUUUUAGUAAAGUCCAAUUUAA
rnacentral:lncRNA from 1 species